rnacentral:rRNA from 1 species
UACGAAGGGGACUAGCGUUGUUCGUAAUUGCUGGGCGUAAAGAGCAAGCAGGUGGAUUUGUAAGUCAGGGGUGAAAUCCCGGGGCUCAACCUCGUAAUUGCCUUUGAUACUGUCUAUCUUGAGUCCGGGAGAGGUGAGUUGAAUUCCUAGUGUAGAGGUGAAAUUCGUAGAUAUUAGGAAGAACACCAGUGGCGAAGGCGGCUCACUGGCCCGGUGCUGAAGCUCAUGUGCGAAAGCGUUGGGAGCAAACAGG